rnacentral:rRNA from 1 species
AUUGAACGCUGGCGGAAUGCUUUACACAUGCAAGUCGAACGGCAGCACGGGUGCUUGCACCUGGUGGCGAGUGGCGAACGGGUGAGUAACAUAUCGGAACGUACCCAGUAAUGGGGGAUAACUAACCGAAAGGUUAGCUAAUACCGCAUACGCCCUGAGGGGGAAAGCGGGGGAUCGAAAGACCUCGCGUUAUUGGAGCGGCCGAUAUCUGAUUAGCUAGUUGGUGAGGUAAAGGCUCACCAAGGCGACGAUCAGUAGCAGGUCUGAGAGGAUGAUCUGCCACACUGGAACUGAGACACGGUCCAGACUCCUACGGGAGGCAGCAGUGGGGAAUUUUGGACAAUGGGGGAAACCCUGAUCCAGCCAUUCCGCGUGAGUGAAGAAGGCCUUCGGGUUGUAAAGCUCUUUCGGCAGGGAAGAAACGGUUCUGGAUAAUACCCGGAGCUAAUGACGGUACCUGAGGAAGAAGCACCGGCUAACUACGUGCCAGCCGCCGCAGUAA